rnacentral:rRNA from 1 species
GACGAACGCUGGCGGCGUGCUUAACACAUGCAAGUCGAACGAAAAGGCCCUGCUUUUGUGGGGUGCUCGAGUGGCGAACGGGUGAGUAACACGUGAGUAACCUGCCCUUGACUUUGGGAUAACUUCAGGAAACUGGGGCUAAUACCGGAUAGGAGCUCCUGCUGCAUGGUGGGGGUUGGAAAGUUUCGGCGGUUGGGGCUGGACUCGCGGGUUAUCAGCUUGUUGGUGGGGUAGUGGCUUACCAAGGCUUUGACGGGUAGCCGGCCUGAGAGGGGGACCGGCCACAUUGGGACUGAGAUACGGACCAGAAUGCUACGGGAGGCAGCAGUGGGGAGUAUUGCACAAUGGGCGGAAGCCUGAUGCAGCGACGCUGCGUGCGGGAUGACGGCCUUCGGGUUGUAAACCGCUUUCGCCUGUGACGAAGCGGGAGUGACGGUAAUGGGUAAAGAAGCACCGGCUAACUACGUG